ACGCUCGACACCUACGGGAGCAGCAGUGGGGAAUAUUGCACAAUGGGGGAAACCCUGAUGCAGCGACGCCGCGUGAGCGAAGAAGUAUUUCGGUAUGUAAAGCUCUAUCAGCAGGGAAGAAACUGACGGUACCUGACUAAGAAGCACCGGCUAAAUACGUGCCAACAGCCGCGGUAAUCUGAGCGGGCGUGGCAAGGC
rnacentral:rRNA from 1 species